rnacentral:lncRNA from 1 species
GUGGUAGUAGAAGAUUUGUAGGCUCGCUCAAAAAUAUAUCAAAAAAACAAAUUUGCAACGUUGAAUUUGCACUCAUAACACUUUAUCAUGAUUGCUUUUUACCGUAAUUUUAGUUGUCAACAACAGUGCAAAGUCAAGCUGGAUAUAACUCAUGUUAGUCGAGUCCAAGACCAUCAUGAAUUUAUCUUGAUUCUCGUGUUACAGGUUCUAAGUUUCACUGUCAUUUUGCAAUGAGUAAUCUUUCUAAGAAAUCUAUAUGGCACACAAAGCAGUCUCUUUGAGAAAGUUGUUUGAUGGUCGUUACAUAAGAUAAUUUGCUUUCGCGAGAAGUUAUUUUCUCUAAUUCUAAUAUUUGUAAGGGUGGAAAACGUCGAUGAUCUUUUAUUUUUGAAGUAUUUGGUUGAUUAUUCGGAAAUGGUUAGACAUUCAUUCAACUAAUCUGAUGCAUCUUUCUGAUCGUCUUAUUCAAAUUGGUAACUUAGAAGGAUUAUGUAAAAGGUUUUAGUCUUCUAUUCAAUUAAUUUAAAUGACUUACGUUUGAUUUAUUUUAAAUAAAAAACAUGUACGUUUUUCAACAAAAUGAGUCUUUGAUGCACCUUUUAAUUGACGGAGUGAAGCUCUUAGCUUUUUGAAAUUUGAAAGCAAAAUCGGAGAAUUUAGCUUUUGAUUUACAUUUUUGUUGGUUUAGUCCUAUUACAUUCGGGUUUUGUCACCUAGCUUGUAUUUCUUUUUUGUCGUUAUUUUGGUUCUUGUACUUUGUUGUUACUCUUUGAAUCCUCUCCUUGCACUCUGUGUUGGUUAAAAUUCUUCGUUGGCAUUAAUAUAUUUGAUUUUGGAAUUCACUUGAGUUGGCUUGAUCGUGUUGGUUUGAGACCUUAGAGUGUGUUCUAAUUAAGGUCUCAGCUCUCACGUUUGAUUCUCCACAAUGCCAAUUUUGGUGGACAAAUUUGUCUUCUUUAAUAAAAAACAUUUUACCUUUUUUUUAAAAAAGAAGUAAUGUUUCUUUGCCAAUUCAAUUUUCUCCACAUGGAUGAGCCAAAUAUCAAAUCACUAACCAUUAAGAGUUAAGACCAUCCACAAUGGGGGUGGCUUAUCUCUGUAAGCAUGUGUGCCUCAUAGGUAGGCUGGAAAUGAGUCGAGUCGAAUCGAACCUGUUUAAGCUCAACUUGACUCGUUAAGAAUUAGCUUGGUUUGAACCUCGGUUCGAGUUUGACACGAGCUUUUUUUUUAGCUCAAGUUCGGCUCGCUUAAAGUUCACGAACAGUUUGGUUCGGCUCAUUAGGUUCAAUUCGUUUGUUCAAAGCGCAUAACUUUCAGUAUGAAAACGAGUAAAGCCACUUGAACACGAAACCAAAAAGUCAAAAAAUUUAAAUUUUUGACACAUAAAUAUAUUGGAAUUUAUACCAAUUUUUAAUGGACUCGAUGAGGCUAUUAUUACAGUUAGUAAUUAACUUAGGGCCAGGGUGUGAUAUUGCGCUCAUGGGUUGAAUGUUUUACUUUUCAGGAACAAAAGCUAUUCAAAGUGAUAAUUUGUCAAAAAUUGUAGAAUGUGU